rnacentral:rRNA from 1 species
GAUUAGCCAUGCGAGUUGAAUGUUCUUCGUGAACAUGGCGGACUGCUCAGUAACACGUGGACAACCUACCCUUGGAUCUGGGAUAAACCCGGGAAACUGGGCAUAAUACCGGAUAAGCCACAUAUGCUGGAAUGCUUUGUGGCUCAAAGCUCCGGCGUCCAAGGAUGGGUCUGCGGCCUAUCAGGGUAGUAGUGGGUGUAAUGUACCUACUAGCCUACGACGGGUACGGGUUGUGAGAGCAAGAGCCCGGAGAUGGAUUCUGAGACACGAAUCCAGGCCCUACGGGGUGCAGCAGGCGCGAAAACUUUACAAUGCGGGAAACCGCGAUAAGGGAAUCUCGAGUGCCAGCAUAUAAUGUUGGCUGUCCAGAUGCCUAAAAAGCAUUUGUUAGCAAGGGCCGGGCAAGACCGGUGCCAGCCGCCGCGGUAACACCGGCGGCCCGAGUGGUAACCGUUAUUAUUGGGUCUAAAGGGUCUGUAGCCGGCCGAAUAAGUCUCUUGGGAAAUCUGGCAGCUUAACUGUCAGGCAGUCAGGGGAUACUGUUCGGCUUGGGACCGGGAGAGGUGAGAGGUACCUCGGGGGUAGGGGUGAAAUCUUGUGAUCCUCGAGGGACCACCAGUGGCGAAGGCGUCUCACCAGAACGGGUCCGACGGUAAGGGACGAAAGCUAGGGGCACGAACCGGAUUAGAUACCCGGGUAGUCCUAGCCGUAAACGAUGCUUGCUAGGUGUCAGCCACGGUGCGACCGUGGUUGGUGCCGUAGGGAAGCCGUGAAGCGAGCCACCUGGGAAGUACGGCCGCAAGGCUGAAACUUAAAGGAAUUGGCGGGGAGCACUACAACGGGUGA